rnacentral:rRNA from 1 species
CCAAGAGGCUUGCCUCUUGGGGUUGUAGGACAUUCUAUACGGAGUUACAAAGGAACGAGGUAGACGAAGCAGCCUGGAAAGGCUCGUCAUAGAGGGUAACAACCCCGUAGUCGAAACUUCGUUCUCUCUUGAAUGUAUCCUGAGUACGGCGGAACACGUGAAAUUCCGUCGGAAUCUGGGAGGACCAUCUCCCAAGGCUAAAUACU